UACGGAGGGAGCAAGCGUUGUCCGGAAUCAUUGGGCGGAAAGCGCGCGUAGGUGGCCCAGUAAGGCCGCUCUGAAAGUCAAAGGCUCAACCUUUGAAAGCGGGUGGAUACUGCUGGGCUAGAGUCCGGAAGAGGCGAGUGGAAUUCCUGGUGUAGCGGUGGAAUGCGCAGAUAUCAGGAGGAACACCAACGGCGAAGGCAGCUCGCUGGGACGGUACUGACACUGAGGCGCGAAAGCGUGGGGAGCAAACAGG
rnacentral:rRNA from 1 species